GUAUAGUGACACAGUAACAGAGGGAUUGAGGCCCUACUCAGUGAGUUUACAUGUUAGAGGGAGUGGGGUAUAGUGACACAGUAACAGAGGGAUUGAGGGCCUGCUCAGUGAGUUUACAUGUUAGAGGGAGUGGGGUAUAGUGACACAGUAACAGAGGGAUUGAGGGCCUGCUCAGUGAGUUUACAUGUUAGAGGGAGUGGGGUAUAGUGACACAGUAACAGAGGGAUUGAGGGCCCUGCUCAGUGAGUUUACAUGUUAGAGGGAGUGGGGUAUAGUGACACAGUAACAGAGGGAUUGAGGGCCCUGCUCAGUGAGUUUACAUGUUAGAGGGAGUGGGGUAUAGUGACACAGUAACAGAGGGAUUGAGGGCCCUGCUCAGUGAGUUUACAUGUUAGAGGGAGUGGGGUAUAGUGACACAGUAACAGAGGGAUUGAGGGCCUGCUCAGUGAGUUUACAUGUUAGAGGGAGUGGGGUAUAGUGACACAGUAACAGAGGGAUUGAGGGCCCUGCUCAGUGAGUUUACAUGUUAGAGGGAGUGGGGUAUAGUGACACAGUAACAGAGGGAUUGAGGGCCCUGCUCAGUGAGUUUACAUGUUAGAGGGAGUGGGGUAUAGUGACACAGUAACAGAGGGAUUGAGGGCCCUGCUCAGUGAGUUUACAUGUUAGAGGGAGUGGGGGUAUAGUGACACAGUAACAGAGGGAUUGAGG